AUUGAACGCUGGCGGCAGGCCUAACACAUGCAAGUCGAACGAGUGGCGGACGGGUGAGUACUGUCUGGGAAACUGCCCGAUGGAGGGGGAUAACUACUGGAAACGGUAGCUAAUACCGCAUACCAUCGGAUGUGCCCAGCUGGGGUUAGCUAGGAGGUGGGGUAAUGGCUCACCUAGGCGACGAUCCCUAGCUGGUCUGAGAGGAUGACCAGCAACACUGGACCUGAGACACGGUACAGACUCCUACGGGAGGCAGCAGUGGGGAAUAUUGCACAAAGUGCGCAAGACUGAUGCAGCCAUGCCGCGUGUAUGAAUAAGGCCUUCGGGUUGUAAAGUACUUUCAUCGGGGAGGCGUUACCCGCAGAAGAAGCACCGGCUAACUCCGUGCGAGCAGCCGCGGUAUAC
rnacentral:rRNA from 1 species